rnacentral:rRNA from 1 species
CCUACGGGGGGCAGCAGUGGGGAAUAUUGCACAAUGGGGGAAACCCUGAUGCAGCGACGCCGCGUGAGUGAAGAAGUAUUUCGGUAUGUAAAGCUCUAUCAGCAGGGAAGAAAAUGACGGUACCUGAUUAAGAAGCCCCGGCUCACUACGUGCCAGCAGCCGCGGUAAUACGUAGGGGGCAAGCGUAAUCCGGCUUUACUGGGUGUAAAGGGAGCGUAGACGGCAGCGCAAGUCUGAAGUGAAAUGCCGGGGCCUAACCCCGGAACUGCUUGGGAAACGGGGCAGCUAGAGUGAAGGAGAGGUAAGUGGAAUUCCUAGUGUAGCGGGGAAAUGCGUAGAUAUUAGGAGGAACACCAGUGGCGAAGGCGGCUUACUGGACUGUAACUGACGUUGAGGCUCGAAAGCGUGGGGAGCAAACAGGAUUAGAUACCCGAGUAGUC